UGGGGAAUAUUGCACAAUGGGCGCAAGCCUGAUGCAGCCAUGCCGCGUGUGUGAAGAAGGCCUUCGGGUUGUAAAGCACUUUCAGCGAGGAGGAAGGUGGUGAACUUAAUACGUUCAUCAAUUGACGUUACUCGCAGAAGAAGCACCGGCUAACUCCGUGCCAGCAGCCGCGGUAAUACGGGAGGGUGCAAGCGUUAAUCGGAAUUACUGGGCGUAAAGCGCACGCAGACGGUUUGUUAAGUCAGAUGUGAAAUCCCCGGGCUCAACCUGGGAACUGCAUUUGAAACUGGCAAGCUAGAGUCUCGUAGAGGGGGGUAGAAUUCCAGGUGUAGCGGUGAAAUGCGUAGGGAUCUGGAGGAAUACCGGUGGCGAAGGCGGCCCCCUGGACGAAGACUGACGCUCAGGUGCGAAAAGCGUGGGGAGCAAACAGGAUUAGAUACCCCUGGGUUAGGUCCACGCUGUAAAACGAUGUCGAUUUUGGGAGGUUGUGCCCCUUGAGGCGUGGNUUCCGGAGCUAACGNGUUAAAUCGACCGCCUGGGGAGUACGG
rnacentral:rRNA from 1 species